rnacentral:rRNA from 1 species
UACGGGGGGAGCAAGCGUUGUUCGGAUUUACUGGGCGUAAAGGGCGCGUAGGCGGUCAGCACAAGUCAGUUGUGAAAUCUCCGGGCUUAACUCGGAAAGGUCAACUGAUACUGUGCGACUAGAGUGCAGAAGGGGCAACUGGAAUUCUCGGUGUAGCGGUGAAAUGCGUAGAUAUCGAGAGGAACACCUGCGGCGAAGGCGGAUCUCUGGGCCUUACCUGACGCUGAGGAGCGAAAGCAUGGGGAGCAAACAGG